AAGUAAGAUGGAAAUAUUUCGUUGUUGCUUCGCGUUGAGUGAUUCCUAGUUUCUUUGAAACGUUUACGAGGCUCGACUCGAGUUUCUGAGUCGUUCGAAACGUUUCUUAGAAAAGAAGAAAGAAUACAAGGCAGAUACAAUUGAUAUUAAGAACGAUCGUUUGGACUAUUCGACGAUUGGUGUCAAAGCGAGGCGUACACGCGAAGACUUCGUGAUCUCGAGUUAAAUUGCGAGACGCGAUUUUCACUGACACACGCUCGUGUGAGUGAUACGUGCGUUGCGCGCUCGAAGGUCCUGGCUUUCCAACAAGAGGACACGUCCAUCCUGUCGCGAAACGACGACAGCGAUUCGCAUAUUUCAUCUUUCCAAUGUCCUUCGAGUACACCGUGUAACGUCAAUUUUUCUCUCACGAAUCUAACCGAUCUAUCUAAUCUGGAAAUAAGAAAGAAUUGUAAAGAGCAGUUUUAUCACUUGCAUCGAUGAAAACAGGUGAAGGUGUAAUUUCUUGGAACUAAAAACACACCUGGCCAUUCCUUCGCUUCCUCAAAUCAGAUUCAGCUAUAAUCAAACGUACGAUAAUCAUUUAUUAUUCGCGUUAUAGUACCACGCCAGAAUAAUUUAUUUAUAAUUCUCA
rnacentral:misc_RNA from 1 species